CUUUCUUCUUUCACUCCUUAUCU
rnacentral:snRNA from 1 species